CGGCGGACGGGUGAGUAAUGCCUAGGAAUCUGCCUGGUAGUGGGGGACAACGUUUCGAAAGGAACGCUAAUACCGCAUACGUCCUACGGGAGAAAGCAGGGGACCUUCGGGCCUUGCGCUAUCAGAUGAGCCUAGGUCGGAUUAGCUAGUAGGUGGGGUAAUGGCCCACCUAGGCGACGAUCCGUAACUGGUCUGAGAGGAUGAUCAGUCACACUGGAACUGAGACACGGUCCAG
rnacentral:rRNA from 1 species